UUGGUGUGUGUAUGUUUGUGUGGCUUUUUUUUUUAACCUCCCCCCUUCUCUUCCGUGGUCCUAUCCUCUUCUUCAGAUCACUUAUCUCUGCCCCCACCUCCUCGGAGCGCAGCACCAUCCCAGCCUUUCCUCCUCCUCCCCCCCCCCGCCACUUCCCCUGAUCUGCCCCUUUAAGAAAAAGCGACCUUUCUCUCUCUCCCUAACCCUUUACAUGCUGCCCUUCCCCAGUGGACAAUAUUUAAAGAUGGAAGGUAACAUCCAGGAAGAGUGGGAUUUACCUCCAGGUAGGCAGGUUGAGGAAGAUCGCAGCCGCGGCUGAGGUUGACUGCAGAAGCUGUGGCCGUUUCCCUACUCGGCGGGGGCUUAUAGAAUUACCAGGGUGCACAGACGAUGUUUAGGUGCACAGACUUCUUCUACCUUUUACCAUGUCUUUCUCCCAGUUUUGUGCCGUUACCGAAAAACGUGCAUCCCCUUCCACUCCAGUGCAUUUAAGCCAAUCUGGCGGGCAACAUGAAAACUCCCCCUGCACACGCAAACGACUUUCGUUUUCCUAACGAUCGGCGCAUUCUUUCCCACCCUGUCCCCAAUCCAUUUACAAUAAAAUUUGGGUGGGUUGGGGGCUUUCGGUUCUCUCUCCUCCCAGCCCCCCCCCCUCCAUCAGCCGGUUUAAACGAUUCUGUCUCCAUCGUGGUGCUUGUUUAAAACACGCUAAAACCUGAUCGUGGGUCCUCGAGAUGUGUGUGUGUAGGGAAGCAUCUGGGCUGCGACCCGCUGCUGGAGCCUGGGCUUACUCUGAAGUAAGCUUCCGCCAAGCUGAAUGGGUCUUGGCUCCCCAGCGGGCUAGCACUGCAAAGCAGCCUUCAGGGGCGAAGCACUUCAGACCAGAACUUCGCAAUACGACUUCCCACGAGCUCAGGAACCUUGUCAGCUCCCCAGGAAACGUUCCCAAUGAAUCGCUGUGGCCUUACUCGGAAGUAAGGAGUAAGGGGCUCCUUUAACGCCUAGUUAAAUGAAGUUAAGCUGGCCGAUCCCUCGGGCAGCUUGACUCGGAAGACAAUUCAUAUUUGUUUGUUUUUUACCCAAUGGGCCGCAUUCCUAUGCAAGGUUACUUGGGAGUUAGGCUUAAUGAACUCAAAUGUGGCAAGCUGCUAAUUCACAAGUAAGUAUGCGCAGGAUGGAAGAGCUCAGCCACUCAGGCAGCCUGGGCACCGGCUCCUUCUCUCUCUGAUCUCUGACUUACCUAUUUUGCCACAGCGAUGAAUGUGUCCUGCUCAAAAACAAAAAAACAUGGGGUUCUGAUCUAAGCAAGUUCACCUGCUCUACGGCGCUUCCUGUUCAUACAUAUAUAUGUAAUUACACGCUAUUCUCUAUUCUUACUCCUCCUUUCUUCCAGCUAAUUUUUAUUAUAACAGCCUUUCCACUUGAAUGUUGGACUCUGCUUUUUACAGGUCCGGGGGUGUUGCUUUAGCAGGGAUCAAGGCGGUAAGUAUCAUUUUCAGGUCCUUUAAUUAAUAUAUAUAUUAUCAUCAUUAUCUAUUUCAAAUGCUUGGUUGUCCUUUAUAGAAACGACCCUAUUCUCCUGGGCAAUGGAUGGAAAUGGAGGAAGCUGGAUCUUUGCAUUCCUGAAUUUUUCAGGAAUCCCCGGAAAUGGGAAAGUGGGUGGAGGACACUAGCCCCCCUCCCCGGAGUAAAUAGCCUGGCUGGAUCAGUAUUAAUUAAUUACUCCCUUUGGGAAUUCAAGGGCCCAGGAGAGAUGGUGACUGGAAAGGAUACAUUGCGUGGUGUGUGGGGGGUGUUUAUAAAAUAUAAAGGGAAAGGGAAUGUCAAGAAGCCUUCAAGAAAAUAAACCAGAUUUUUUUUAAUGCGGGUGGGGGGGGGAGAAGAAACAGGACAAGAGGCGUUCACACCCCACCCCCAGCAAAAUAAAAAAGCAGCCUAGCAGCCGACCGGCAGGUGGGAGAUAUGAGGAGAGAACAAAGUUUGAGGUUGAAAACUGCAUACUUUAUUACUAGAAUGAAGUACAAUGAAAUAAAUUAUUAUUAUUAAGAUUAUAGAAGAUUUUCUCUUUUUUUGUAUCUAGAUUUAUAUUAAUCCUGUUGUGGUCAGGGCAAAGGAGGUCUGAAAACAUUUAUUAUAUUUUCAAGUGGGGGACGGGGACGGAAGAGAGAGGUAACAAACCAAGUCCCCUUCUCCUUUUCUUCAUUUUGUGCUUGAGGUUCAGUUACUUCAACGCCUCGCGAUUUAACUCAAUCAGGUUCUGGGAUUCCGCCGCCCGUCCGCACACCCCGUUCUGUUUCCACAAACUUGUAAUAAAGCUGGUAAUUUUAAAAGCCAUUCAAAUAAUAAAACAAAGCCUGCCGAAUUAUUAUUUAUU